rnacentral:tRNA from 1 species
GGGGAUAUAGCUCUGUGAGAGAGCUUUUGACUGCAGAUCAAGAGGUCCCCAGUUCA